AGAACGAACGCUGGCGGCAUGCCUAAUACAUGCAAGUCGAACGAACUCUUCGGAGUUAGUGGCGCACGGGUGCGUAACGCGUGGGAAUCUGCCCCUUGGUUCGGAAUAACAGUUGGAAACGACUGCUAAUACCGGAUGAUGACGAAAGUCCAAAGAUUUAUCGCCAAGGGAUGAGCCCGCGUAGGAUUAGCUAGUUGGUGAGGUAAAGGCUCACCAAGGCAACGAUCCUUAGCUGGUCUGAGAGGAUGAUCAGCCACACUGGGACUGAGACACGGCCCAGACCU
rnacentral:rRNA from 1 species